rnacentral:piRNA from 1 species
AUUGGUACCAGCAGAGUGGAGUAUU